rnacentral:tRNA from 1 species
AGAGAGGUACUAAAGUUAUAGGGGCUAUAGGAUUGGCUUGAAACCAGUUUUAGGGGGUUCGACUCCCUCCUUUUUCG